rnacentral:rRNA from 1 species
UACAGAGGUCUCAAGCGUUGUUCGGAUUCAUUGGGCGUAAAGGGUGCGUAGGCGGCGCGGUAAGUCGGGUGUGAAAUCUCGGAGCUUAACUCCGAAACUGCAUUCGAUACUGCCGUGCUUGAGGACUGGAGAGGAGACUGGAAUUUACGGUGUAGCGGUGAAAUGCGUAGAUAUCGUAAGGAAGACCAGUGGCGAAGGCGGAAUCUCUGGACA